GAUGAACGCUGGCGGCGUGCCUAAUACAUGCCAGUCGAGCGAACAGACGAGGAGCUUGCUCCUCUGAUGUUAGCGGCGGACGGGUGAGUAACACGUGGAUAACCUACCUAUAAGACUGGGAUAACUUCGGGAAACCGGAGCUAAUACCGGAUAACAUGUUGAACCGCAUGGUUCAACAGUGAAAGACGGUCUUGCUGUCACUUAUAGAUGGAUCCGCGCCGCAUUAGCUAGUUGGUAAGGUAACGGCUUACCAAGGCAACGAUGCGUAGCCGACCUGAGAGGGUGAUCGGCCACACUGGAACUGAGACACGGUCCAGACUCCUACGGGAGGCAGCAGUAGGGAAUCUUCCGCAAUGGGCGAAAGCCUGACGGAGCAACGCCGCGUGAGUGAAGAAGGUCUUCGGAUCGUAAAACUCUGUUAUUAGGGAAGAACAAAUGUGUAAGUAACUAUGCACGUCUUGACGGUACCUAAUCAGAAAGCCACGGCUAACUACGUG
rnacentral:rRNA from 1 species